rnacentral:tRNA from 1 species
GCUCUCGUCGUUCAACGGAUAGGAUAGCUCCCUCCGAAGGAGCCGAUGACGGUUCGAUUCCGUCCGAGAGCA